rnacentral:rRNA from 1 species
GAAAACAUUUCUUCCUAGAUUAGGAGGUAAGGCCUGCUCACUGAAAAUUUAAAGAGCCGCAGUAUCCUAACUGUGCUAAGGUAGCAUAAUCAUUAGUCUUUUAAUUGAAGACUGGUAUGAAUGGCUUAACGAGAGAUUGACUUUUUUUAUUAUACAAAUUUAAUUUAAUUUUUUAGUGAAAAAGCUAAAAUUUUUCAGAAAGACGAGAAGACCCUAUAGAGUUUUAUGUUUUUUUAUAUUUUUUAUUAUUAGAUUUUUAAAGAAUUAGUAUAAUUAAACAUUUUGUUGGGGCGACAUUAAGAUAAAAAAAACUCUUAUUUUUUAAAAUUUUUUUAAAAAUGUAAAUUGAUCCUUUAAAAAAGAUUAUAAGAAAAAAUUACCUUAGGGAUAACAGCGUAAUCUUUUUUGAGAGUUCUAAUCGACAAAAAGGUUUGCGACCUCGAUGUUGGACUAAAAUUUAGACAAGGUGCAGCCGCUUUGUUUUUAGGUCUGUUCGACCUAUAAAA